GUGAGGAAUCUUCCACAAUGGGCGAAAGCCUGAUGGAGCGACGCCGCGUGCAGGAUGAAGGCCUUCGGGUUGUAAACUGCUUUUAUAAGUGAAGAAUAUGACGGUAACUUAUGAAUAAGCACCGGCUAACUACGUGCCAGCAGCCGCGGUCAUACGUAGGGUGCAAGCAUUAUCCGGAGUGACUGGGCGUAAAGAGUUGCGUAGGCGGCCUAUAAAGCGAAUAGUGAAACCUGAUGGCUCAACCAUCAGACUAUUGUUCGAACUCAUAGGCUCGAGAGUAGCAGAGGUAACUGGAAUUUCUUGUGUAGGAGUGAAAUCCGUAGAUAUAAGAAGGAACACCAAUGGCGUAGGCAGGUUACUAGGCUAUUUCUGACGCUAAGGCACGAAAGCGUGGGGAGCGAACCGGAUUAGAAACCCGUGUAGUCC
rnacentral:rRNA from 1 species